AUACGGAGGGUGCAAGCGUUGUUCGGAAUUACUGGGCGUAAAGCGCGCGUAGGCGGUCUGUUAUGUCAGAUGUGAAAGUCCUCGGCUCAACCGGGGAAGUGCAUUUGAAACUGGCAGACUUGAGUACUGGAGGGGGUGGUGGAAUUCCCGGUGUAGAGGUGAAAUUCGUAGAUAUCGGGAGGAAUACCGGUGGCGAAGGCGACCACCUGGCCAGAUACUGACGCUGAGGCGCGAAUGCGUGGGGAGCAAACAGGAUUAGAUACCCUAGUAGUCC
rnacentral:rRNA from 1 species